UACAGAGGGGGCAAGCGUUGUUCGGAAUUACUGGGCGUAAAGGGCGCGUAGGCGGCCUGCUAAGUCGAACGUGAAAUCCCUGGGCUCAACCCAGGAACUGCGUCCGAUACUGGUUGGCUUGAAUCCGGGAGAGGGAUGUGGAAUUCCAGGUGUAGCGGUGAAAUGCGUAGAUAUCUGGAGGAAUACCGGUGGCGAAGGCGGCAUCCUGGACCAAUACUGACGCUGAGGCGCGAAAGCUAGGGGAGCAAACGGG
rnacentral:rRNA from 1 species